GACGAACGCUGGCGGCGUGCUUAACACAUGCAAGUCGAACGAAGUGGCGAACGGGUGAGUAACGCGUAAUCAACCUGCCCUUCAGAGGGGGACAACAGUUGGAAACGACUGCUAAUACCGCAUACUGAAGGAGGGGAUUGCGUCUGAUUAGCUAGUUGGAGGGGUAACGGCCCACCAAGGCGAUGAUCAGUAGCCGGACUGAGAGGGGGACCGGAAACAUUGGGACGGAGAGACGGCCCAGACUCCUACGGGAGGCAGCAGUGGGGGAGAUUGCACAAGGGGCGAAAGCCUGAGGCAGGGACGCCGCGUGGGGGAUGAGGGCUUUCGGGUUGUAAACCUCUUUCGCUAUCGAACGGGUAGGUGGAGAAGAAGCGCCGGCUAACUACGUGCCAGCAGCCGCGGUAAUAC
rnacentral:rRNA from 1 species